rnacentral:miRNA from 1 species
UCUCCGCCUCCUCUCCC